UACGAAGGGGGCUAGCGUUGCUCGGAAUUACUGGGCGUAAAGCGCACGUAGGCGGGUCGUUAAGUCGGGGGUGAAAUCCUGGAGCUCAACUCCAGAACUGCCUUCGAAACUGACGAUCUUGAGUUCGGGAGAGGUGAGUGGAACUGCGAGUGUAGAGGUGAAAUUCGUAGAUAUUCGCAAGAACACCAGUGGCGAAGGCGGCUCACUGGCCCGAUACUGACGCUGAGGCACGAAAGCGUGGGGAGCAAACAGGG
rnacentral:rRNA from 1 species